rnacentral:misc_RNA from 1 species
UACGUAGGGGGCGAGCGUUGUCCGGAAUUAUUGGGCGUAAAGAGCUCGUAGGCGGUCCGCUAAGUCGAAUGUGAAAUCUCAGGGCUUAACCCUGAAAUUGCAUCCGAUACUGGCGGACUUGAGGCAGGUAGAGGAGAACGGAAUUCCUGGUGUAGCGGUGAAAUGCGCAGAUAUCAGGAGGAACACCGGUGGCGAAGGCGGUUCUCUGGGCCUGUUCUGACGCUGAGGAGCGAAAGCGUGGGGAGCAAACAGG